rnacentral:rRNA from 1 species
CUCCAGACUCCUACGGGAGGCAGCAGUGGGGAAUAUUGCACAAUGGGGGAAACCCUGAUGCAGCAACGCCGCGUGAAGGAAGAAGGGCUUCGGCUCGUAAACUUCUAUCAACAGGGACGAAAGAAAUGACGGUACCUGAAUAAGAAGCCCCGGCUAACUACGUGCCAGCAGCCGCGGUAAUACGUAGGGGGCAAGCGUUAUCCGGAAUUACUGGGUGUAAAGGGUGAGUAGGCGGCAUGGUAAGCCAGAUGUGAAAGCCUUGGGCUUAACCCGAGGAUUGCAUUUGGAACUAUCAAGCUAGAGUACAGGAGAGGAAAGCGGAAUUCCUAGUGUAGCGGUGAAAUGCGUAGAUAUUAGGAAGAACACCAGUGGCGAAGGCGGCUUUCUGGACUGAAACUGACGCUGAGGCACGAAAGCGUGGGGAGCGAACAGGAUUAGAUACCCGCGUAAA